rnacentral:rRNA from 1 species
GGCUUUUGGGCUGUCGCAGAUGGAUGAGCCUGCGUUGGAUUAGCUAGUUGGUGGGGUAAGGGCCUACCAAGGCUACGAUCCAUAGCUGAUUUGAGAGGAUGAUCAGCCACAUUGGGACUGAGACACGGCCCAAACUCCUACGGGAGGCAGCAGUGGGGAAUAUUGGACAAUGGGGGUAACCCUGAUCCAGCAAUGUCAUGUGUGUGAAGAAGGCCUUAGGGUUGUAAAGCACUUUAGUUGGGGAGGAAAGCUUUGAGGUUAAUAGCCUUGAGGAAGGACGUUACCCAAAGAAUAAGCACCGGCUAACUCCGUGCCAGCAGCCGCGGUAAUACGGGGGGUGCAAGCGUUAAUCGGAAUUACUGGGCGUAAAGGGUCUGUAGGUGGUUUGUUAAGUCAGAUGUGAAAGCCCAGGGCUCAACCUUGGAACUGCAUUUGAUACUGGCAAACUAGAGUACGGUAGAGGAAUGGGGAAUUUCUGGUGUAGCGGUGAAAUGCGUAGAGAUCAGAAGGAACACCAAUGGCGAAGGCAACAUUUUGGACCGGUACUGACACUGAGGGACGAAAGCGUGGGGAUCAAACAGGAUUAGAUACCCUGGUAGUCCAUGCUGUAAACGAUGAAUACUAGCUGUUGGAGUCGGUGUAAAGGCUCUAGUGGCGCAGCUAACGCGAUAAGUAUUCCGCCUGGGGACUACGGCCGCAAGGCUAAAACUCAAAGGAAUUGACGGGGACCCGCACAAGCGGUGGAGCAUGUGGUUUAAUUCGAUGCAACGCGAAGAACCUUACCUGGUCUUGACAUCCUGCGAGCUUUCUAGAGAUAGAUUGAUGCCUUCGGGAACGCAGUGACAGGUGCUGCACGGCUGUCGUCAGCUCGUGUUGUGAAAUGUUGGGUUAAGUCCCGCAACGAGCGCAACCCCUAUUGAUAGUUACCAUCAUUAAGUUGGGUACUCUAUUGAAACUGCCGCUGACAAGGCGGAGGAAGGUGGGGACGACGUCAAGUCAUCAUGGCCCUUACGACCAGGGCUACACACGUGCUACAA